GAUGAACGCUGGCGGCGUGCUUAACACAUGCAAGUCGAGCGAAGAAACUUUAAACGUACCCUUCGGGCCUUAGAUACAGUCGAUUAAGGGACGCCGGGUGAGCAAACCGUGAGGACACUGCCCUCGUCAGUGGGCCAGACUUAGGAAACCGUCAUUUAUUCCAACUAAUAUUCCAAUGAUACAAGACAUAAUUGUUAACACUUCGAUGGUCUAAGAUGGACCCGCCUCUAAUUAGCUAGUUAGUAGCGUACAAGCCUACCAAUGCGACGAUGGCUAGCCGGGCUGAGAGGGUGAGCCGACACAUGGGAACUGAGAAGCGGUACAAACUCCUACGGGAGGCGGCAGUGGGGAAUAUUGCACAAUAGAGGGAAGGCUGAUGGAGCGAGGACGCGUGAACGAAGAAGUAUUUGGAGAAGAAAAGUUCUAGUAUCUGGGAAGAUAAUGACGGUACCUUAAGAAAAAGCCCCGGCUAACUACGUG
rnacentral:rRNA from 1 species